UAUUCGGUCGAAACUGUAAAUUUCGAGCUUCAAUUUCGAUAACGACGAUAAAGACGAGAGGACGAAGCGACGAGCGCGACCUCGAGGAACCGUCGGGACACCGCACGAUAAAUUAUCUUGCAGAAAAAUAAGAAACCGGUAGCGCAAGACCGAUUGAAAGAAAAAUAGAGAAAGACGCGCGAGAACGGCACGUGCGACGAUACAGGUGAAUCAAAGUAUGCGAAUCGGCCCCGUAUCGGCGCGUAAAAGGCGAUCGGAGUACGCGUGCGCACAGGGGUGUUGUGACAGGUUGUCAUAGCGACGACAUCUCGACGCCGUCGGACCGAACGGGCGCGGGAACCGGGAACCGGGAACUAGGAACUGGGAACGUCGGACGUGUGGCCAGACGUCGCGAUGCAUCUGUGAGGUGCGAACCGCCGUCGGUGCAACGGCUGACGGCUGACGGCACGGCGCCUCGCUGUUACCGAACAUGCAUCGAACACGCGAACGAAUUUCUCGGUUUUUAUCGCGUCGUUGCGAUCCUGAUCGCGGUCGCGAUCGCGAUCCCGAGCCUCGUCUCGUCGACGAUCGAGGAAUCGCUGUCAAUUUCCCCUGCAGGCUGUGUUCCGUCUCCGCGAGUCGUGCGGGAACGUCGCGACGGUAGGAGUACGAGCGCAUAGAUAACGCAACAGCGACGUCUCCGAAAAUCGAAGCAACGAAUCUUCUCCCGUUUUUAUCGUCGGUAAGCUGCUGUUCCAUUUUAAAUCGAUGAAAUCCGAUGUUUGCGCUAUCUUAUAUCCACGCUGUUUCUCUUACCAUAUUUUUAAUCGACCAUCGUUGGUUCGCGGCCAAGAUUCGAAACGACUUUCCGCUGGAUCGCGGAAUCUUCGCUCGAAGCGUUUCCAGCAGCGGUCGGAAGGCCGGAGAGUCGGAGCAGAUGGGACGAUGGAAAACGUCUUACCCGAUACGUUUCAACGUACAUUCGUACGUUGCGCGUACAUUUUUCUCACCGAACAGUCGAUCGAACAGUUUUUCGCUACGGGCUGGACAGAGGGACGAUAUUUUUCAAAGUCUGGUCGAAAAUAGACGCGGCGCGGCGCUAGACCGCCGAAAGAUUGACAGCGAGUUGUUCGUAGAGGCGAGACGAACGAUUUGAUCGGGACUCGAAGGGCGUAGGAAGGUAAAAGGAGCAAUCGAUAACCUAAAUUACCUCGAGCUCGCAGAAGUUUUCGAGGGACUGCGUUACGGUUACGGACGUGUUCGUAAUCACGGUUGUAAAGUGGAGCACGAACGUGACCCGGCAGACGCGCGUCGCGGCUCCGACGAUGCCGUCCGCGGCAUGUCGGCGAGCGACAACGGUUGUCACCUUUCAGGGGCGUUACACGCCGUCGUUUACGUACCGUCGCGACGACGGUCUCGUUGAUCGAAGAAAGAUGUACGCGUGUGCGAAUAAAAAUCACCUUAAGAAUUACGAAGAAUAUAACUUUGAUCGGAAAGAAUCGAUCGCACCGUAUCGAUCUCGCGUUGCCGUACAACCGCGUAAGAAAUAUAAUAUUUCUCGCGUGGUUGCGAGAAAAGUGGACGGAUACCACCUUUGUACACGCGGUAAUCUACAACUCCCGAUAAUCGUUGUCGCAUCGUCGACCACGUUUGUUCGACGUUACGACGUUUCGUUAGAAACCAGUCAUCGGUUUUCCUCGAACCGGAUUACGCGGUACCUUGAAAACAGGGACUUUAUACCCACGCGAUUGCCCUUGAUCGAUAUCCAUCGUACCGAGUCUUGUCGUUUCGUCGCGUUCUCGUCGCGUUCUCGUCGCGUUCUCGUCGCGAGCGCUCGACCGACGCGCGUCCACGAUCUAAAAGGAUUUUCCAAUUUUUCGGACGCUGCUUCUUCUUUUCUCGUUUUACAAUCGGAUCCAGCUUAUCCGUACUCGCGUCGCGUCUUGGUUCGCGUUUUAAAAGUCGGGCGGUCGAAAGGUUACAGCUUUACGAUUGGACGGACGCUCUUUCUCGCGCGCGUCGAUUGGAAAAUCGGGGCGCGUUCGAUGCAUCCGUCGAUACCGCGCGUUCGCGCGAAAUAACUCGCCUUCCCCUGGCACGCGACAUCGAAGUCGAACCAAAACGUACACCGAAACUCGUUUCGCGCAUAGAGCCGAGAGCAACGAUAGCUCGAAUUUCAUCGCGUUAGAUUCUAAGUCGUCGCGUAACCGAUCCUCGAAAGCUGGCAAACGUUCGUUUCCGUACGGACGAUCGUCGAUUCGCUCGUCGGCGAGCCGUCUCGACGGUAGU